UCUGGUAUUUUUUGUGUGGAUGUUACACCCGUUCCCAUUUCGAACACGGAAGUUAAGCUCCAUCACGCCUGAAGUAGUACUACGGUGCGAGAUAAGGUCAAUGCCAGUU
rnacentral:rRNA from 1 species